rnacentral:rRNA from 1 species
AUUGAACGCUGGCGGCAUGCUUUACACAUGCAAGUCGAACGGCAGCACGGGCUUCGGCCUGGUGGCGAGUGGCGAACGGGUGAGUAAUAUAUCGGAACGUACCCAGAAGUGGGGGAUAACGUAGCGAAAGUUACGCUAAUACCGCAUACGAUCUAUGGAUGAAAGCAGGGGACCGCAAGGCCUUGUGCUCCUGGAGCGGCCGAUAUCUGAUUAGCUAGUUGGUGAGGUAAAGGCUCACCAAGGCGACGAUCAGUAGCUGGCCUGAGAGGACGACCAGCCACACUGGAACUGAGACACGGUCCAGACUCCUACGGGAGGCAGCAGUGGGGAAUUUUGGACAGUGGGCGCAAGCCUGAUCCAGCAAUGCCGCGUGAGUGAAGAAGGCCUUCGGGUUGUAAAGCUCUUUUGUCAGGGAAGAAACGGUAGAGGCUAAUAUCCUUUGCUAAUGACGGUACCUGAAGAAUAAGCACCGGCUAACUACGU